UCAGGCUCUGUUCCUGUCUUUUUUUUUUUUUUCCUUUUGUUGACAUUAAGUAAAUUAUCAAACUCUGAGGCCCUUGUUACUGUGACUUUACAGAACACGAUCGAAGAGGAGAAAGGCUGGAAAGUUGGAGACUGAAAAUGGCAGCCAUCAGAAAAGAACUGCCGUGUGGAGCAAUCCUACAGAGAGACCCACUGGGAGAGGCACUAUGGCCAAACCCACAGAAGGAAGCUUCACAGGAUCCUCAGCUGCUAUCAAGUUUUGCGAUUACUGCAGCUCUGGCCUAGAACAUCAGCACCAAAAAUUCAUCAGACUGCUCAGUUAAGCCGCUCCCAAAUCCCUGAUCUAUGUCCUUCCAGGUGGUCCAGUCCUAUCGUAUCACAGUCGGUUACUUUCUGAGAUCCUUGGCACCUGAGCAUGGAUAUAAAGUGAUCA